GCAGCACAUAGACAACGGUGACCAUACCGGAGUUCUGGAGCCUCUUCACUUACAUCUUCAGUGCCGCCGACAUAUACUUUGCUGUUGCAAUUGUCUGAACUCCACAGAGCAGGUAUGCUUGAGAAUAUACACACUAUCUGCUAUAAUGCGAUUGGUGAUCCUUCAGUAAAGGUGCAGCACAUAGACAACGCCGACCAUGUUGGAGUUCCGGAGCCUCUUCACUUACAACAUAUGCUUUGCUGUUGCAACUGUAUGAACUGCACAUGAGCAGGUAAAAAUCAUUUCUUCCACUGUCUCACUCAUUCAUUUUUAGCUGCUGGAUCGAUCUUUCUGAACAUUUUAUCUCUUUGGAUGGGGGGAUUUGUUAUAUACUUGUAGCCACAUCAUGAUUUCUAGUUGAUACUAAGCUGCCUUUUAACACCUGUGCCUACA